rnacentral:lncRNA from 1 species
CCGGAAUAUGGCGGGGCGUUUGGCUCUUGCUGCAGCCAGAGCUCCAGGUCUCGUCUUCAUUUCUGUGUCCUUUGUUCUUAGAGGCCCAGCCUGUGUGGCCCUGUGACCCGCAGAUAUUGGGAGAUACACAGCUAAGACUCCAGGACCCCCUGGAAGCCUAGAAAUGAUGGAGUCUUGCUCUGUCGCCCAGGCUGGAGUGCAUGGCACCAUCUCGGCUCACAGCAACUUCCACCUCCCGGGUUCAAGUGAUUCUCCUGCCUCAGCCUCCUGAGUAGCUGGGACUACAGAUGUGCACCACCACGCCCAGCUAAAUUUUUAUUUUUUUAUUUUUAGUAGAGAAAGGGUUUCACUGUGUUAGCCAGGAUAGUCUCGAUCUCCUGACAUCGUGAUCUGCCCACCUCAGCCUUCCAAAGUGCUGGGAUUACAGGCAUGAGCCAUCGUGCCCAGCCCUGUAUUAUAUCUUUAUCUUUAUCAAGUUGUGGUCUAAGUGAGCAUUUGGUAUGAUUUUGGGAUUAUUGAAUUUGCUGAGGAUUGUUGUGUUUCUGAUUGCGUGGUCAAUUUUAGAGUAUGUGACACAUGGUGAUGAGAAAGAUAUAUAUACUAUGUUGGUUUCAGAUGAAGAGUUUCAUAUAUGUUUAUUAGAAUGAUUUGGUCAAGUGUUGAGUUUAGGUUCUGAUAUCUGCUAAUUUUCUGCCUCAAGGUGGGAAAUUAA